AGGACGAACGCUGGCGGCGUGCUUAACACAUGCAAGUCGAGCGAUGAAGUUCCUUCGGGAACGGAUUAGCGGCGGACGGGUAAGUAACACGUGGGUAACCUGCCUCAUAGAGGGGAAUAGCCUUUCGAAAGGAAGAUUAAUACCGCAUAAGAUUGUAGUGCCGCAUGGCAUAGCAAUUAAAGGAGUAAUCCGCUAUGAGAUGGACCCGCGUCGCAUUAGCUAGUUGGUGAGGUAACGGCUCACAAAGGCGACGAUGCGUAGCCGACCUGAGAGGGUGAUCGGCCACAUUGGAACUGAGACACGGUCCAGACUCCUACGGGAGGCAGCAGUGGGGAAUAUUGCACAAUGGAGGAAACUCUGAUGCAGCAACGCCGCGUGAGUGAUGAAGGUCUUCGGAUUGUAAAGCUCUGUCUUCUGGGA
rnacentral:rRNA from 1 species